rnacentral:lncRNA from 1 species
GGAUGCCAGUCUCUCCUGGUUGCCUUUGAAUCAAGAUGCAGAACUUUCAACUCUUCCAGCCCCAAGUCUGCCUGGAUGCUGCCAUGCUUCAGGCUAUGAUGAUAAUGGACUGAACCUCUGAACCUGCUUCUGCUGACUCAGAGUCUAUAGUGGAAUGAGAAAAUGCUAUGCAAACCACCACCAUUAAACAAUAGGAUGGAGUUCAUUUUACAGUCGUAUUAAGCAGUAAUUGCUAUUAAGUUAGCAGUAUCGGUGAGAUCAUCCUUCAUGAUCAAGCACACAGAGCAUGAAAACAGUGAGACUGAGGGCGGCAGAACUCUGUGACUCUCAGACAAGAACUGUGUUUACAUCUUUUUAAAUGCCACAUCCCUAUGAACU